AUAAAAGAUAAUAAGAUUAAAAAAUCAAUAAUUUAAGUAAAGUUAAUGUAAUAUUAAAAUAAAUUGCUAACACCAUUAAUUAUUCAAGUCGCAAGUCAAUUAAGUUGAGAAUUUUUCAUUUUUCUUUGCAAUUGUCAUAAGUUAAUAGCUAUCAAUUAUUUUAUAUUAAUACAAUAUAAUUUAAGUUAAUAAAAGAAAUGAUACACUGUUUGUUCAUACCAAUUCAUACCAGGUUUCUAAAAAAUAAAGGUUUGAUGGGUAGACUGUAUUAGCUUAAGCUCUAAUUCCCCGUUAAAUCAGCUCAACCGGCCAAUCUGGUCAAGGUCUGACAACCAUGAUAUUUAUAUUGUUACCGAGGCUUCAAAGGGAGCACUCAUUUUCAAGAAGUUCUAGAGAAGGCAAGACCCACCAGACAAGUCAUAGACUCGUAGGGUUGUUUAACUCAUUAAGAAGAUCAAUAUGUAACCAAAUUAAAUAGAAAGCAGAAAAAUAAUUUGAUGCUAAAAGGGCUAUAAUGGUUAAUCAAGCAAGAAUCAACAGAUAAUUAAACUAAAUAACUAACAAUUGCCUUGUACUGAAACAGUUAUAAUGUAACAUUCAAG
rnacentral:misc_RNA from 1 species